UACGCGCCAAACCGGCCGCAGCCGCGCACCCUGAGCGCCACAGUGGCCUUGUCGUCCUCGUCCGUCUUGACGGUGCAUUCUUCGACGGCGCCGCCGGCGUUGAACAUGUGGAGCAGCCCGAUGGGCGCGAAGGACACGUCCGGCGCCACGGUGCGGAUGGGGCAGACGUGGAACAGCUCGUACUCGAGCCUCUUGAGCGUCACCGGCAGCGUGGCGCCCCGGGGCAGCCGCACGAGCUCCCCCGCCCGGUGCGCGUACACCACGGCGUCACCGCCCCUGUCGUCGGUGCCGGCGGCCUGAGCGAUGCCCUCCACGUCCUCGGCGCGCACCGAGCCGGUGAGCGUCCCGGGCGCCUCGUCGUGGAUCCUCGUCUUCUUGACGACGCGGCACCACCCCGCGCCCUGGCAGUUGAACACCCCCACCACGCCGGCGCACUUGUCCAUGUUCCAUAUCUUGAGCAAGCUGAGAAAGAAAAGCAGGGGAUCUCAUGUCAGCGGCACUGAGAUAGAAUCUGGGAGAGUUUCAUUCACGUCAGAGGGAGGAUUUGAAGGAUGAUGGUGCUGACCUGGCACCAUCGCGCGCCGGGUCGGAGAAGAGGCAGUCGCGCGUGGGCCUGCCGGGGAGCUGCGCGCGGAGCACGGAGCCGUCGGGGAGCACCAACUUCUUGAGAAGGUCGAAGUUGUGGUUCCCAGGCUUGUCGCUGACAUAAAUGGGGCAGCCGCCGAUGGCCCUCGCCGCGCCGUGGUACUCCGCCGCCGGGUGCAGGCUCUGUAUCAUCAAUUCAUAAUUACCAUCCAUCGGUCAGAAGUCAGAACAAACAGUAGAAAACAAUUAAUUAAACGUGAGAAAGAAAGAAAGAAAGAAUUACAUGGAACAUGUCCCAGUCGGGCUGCAUGAAUUCGCCGAGGAAGAGCGUGUUGUAUGCGACGGAGGAGAUGUGGACGGUGUGCGACGCCGGGUCGCGCGGGUAGAAGUCGUCGGAGGCGCGCACGACGGCGGUCUGCUUGGCGCUGUAGAGCAUGUCGGUGUUGUGGCACAUGCAGGAGAUGCAGCCGUUGUCCGGGAAGUUGCGGGCGACGGAGGCCUCUAGCGCGCGGUGGUAGGCGCGGGUGAGCGCGACGCGGCCGCCGUGGCCCGCGCCGAGGGUCUCCACGAUGUUCUGCACGUCCACCUUGACGCCGUCGACGCCGCAGGCGGCCAGGUAGGCGUGGAGCUCGUCGUAGAAGUUGUAGACCUUGCGGGGGUGCACGAGGCCGAGGCCGAGCACGGAGAGCGAGUCCAUGACGAUGUCCGGCUGGUUGCCCGUGACGCCCGGCGACUGCACGGGGUACGCCAGCGCCGACUCGUAGUGCUCCAUCCCGGCCGCCGACGGCUUGACGCCGCCCCAGUAGCCGGCCAUGGCGUGCCAGACGUAGACGCUCUUGACGCCGUGCUCCUUCUUGGUCUCCUCCACCAGCCGCUUCAGCCCCGGGGUGUCGUCCU
rnacentral:lncRNA from 1 species